GCACGGUGGCUUAGUGGUCAGCACGUUCGCCUCCAGGGUCCGGGGUUCGAAUCCCCGAUUGUGCG